AGCUCUGAGUAAAAAAGAUAGAUUUUCUUGUGUUCAUCGAACACUUCGUCAAUCUCCUAUUUUUACUGCGAGCU
rnacentral:ncRNA from 1 species